rnacentral:lncRNA from 1 species
GUCUGACUCGAUUCUCAUGUUUGUCCAUCCAUAAGACAAAAAAUGUGCCCCAAGAUAUGAGAGUACGAUGGAUCACAAGCUCUUAGAGAUAGGUGGAGGCCAAAAUUGAAUCAAGGUGGAGAUUGUUGAGAAAAAUAUCUCAAGAUUCGAUCUAUAAUAAGCCCAAAACAAGAUCCAAGACAACGAACGAAAUCUAAUGAGCCUAAGAAC